UACCAGCACCCCGAGUGGUCGGGACGAUUAUUGGGCCUAAAGCAUCCGUAGCCGGCCUUACAAGUCCUCCGUUAAAUCCAGCUGCUUAACAGAUGGGCUGCGGAGGAUACUAUAAGACUAGGAGGCAGGAGAGGCAAGCGGUACUCAGUGGGUAGGGGUAAAAUCCGUUGAUCCAUUGAAGACCACCAGUGGCGAAGGCGGCUUGCCAGAAUGCGCUCGACGGUGAGGGAUGAAAAGCUGGGGGGAGCAAACCGG
rnacentral:rRNA from 1 species